UCUCCUACGGGGGGCAGCAGUGAGGAAUAUUGGUCAAUGGGCGGGAGCCUGAACCAGCCAAGUCGCGUGAAGGAAGAAGGUACUUAGUAUUGUAAACUUCUUUUGUCAGGGAGCAACGCCGGCUACGUGUAGCCGGACUGAGAGUACCUGAAGAAAAAGCAUCGGCUAACUCCGUGCCAGCAGCCGCGGUAAUACGGAGGAUGCGAGCGUUAUCCGGAUUUAUUGGGUUUAAAGGGUGCGUAGGCGGAAUGCCAAGUCAGCGGUAAAAUCGCGGGGCUCAACCUCGCUCCGCCGUUGAAACUGGC
rnacentral:rRNA from 1 species